AGCGCGCGCGUGCGCGGCAGCUGCCGCUGCUGAAUAGCUGAGAGGUGCACUGGGGCGGCAAGCUGGGCUCGGAGUGCAGCGGGGUCAGGAUGGACGAGGACGUGUUGCACCCUGAAGAGCCUCAUCAUCCGCGAGAGUGGGGUGGGCAAGUACAGCCUGCUCUUGAGGUUCACAGAUGACACCUUUGAUCCAGAACUUGCAGCAACAAUAGGCAGUUCACUUUACAUCGCUUUCCAGACAACUGGAAUUUGAGGCAACGUCUAUGACAGCGAUCCCUUUGUUUUCACCUGGCGUGUGUUCUCAUCAGACUGCUUGCCGUCACAUCGUGCUUCAGAAAUGCAGGAAUCACAUGAACCUGUCCAUCCACAGAUGAAGUGGUAAAUAAACUGCCAUAUUAGAUACAUGACGGUGUACUCUUCAGCCAUAAAGCUUCGGGAAACCCUGUCAUCAGCAACCACGUGGAGGAACCUCUCCAUCCACAGAUGAAGGGAUCAGGAAACUCUGGUAUAUAUACUGAAGGGAAAUGCUUUUUGGCUACCAAAAUAAUGAAAUUAUGUCGUUUGGAGCAACACAGAAGAACCUGUCCAUCCACAAAUGAAGACAUCAAGAAACUCUAGGAUGUACACAAGGCAAAACACUUCAGCCAUCAGAAUCAUGACAUAUGUCACGUGGAGCAACCCAGUUGACCCGCCAAGGCUGCCUCUUCCUCCACAGGCGGAUGAACGCUGUGGCUGCUGCUCCUGCCUGGGCCGUGCCCUGACGCUGCCAACACCACUGCUCCUCUAUUUAUAAGUCUUAAUAGGGUUGCUGACCCAGCUAUAGCUGAACAGCUGACAUGUACCUCAUGCUAAGCCGGGUGCUUCAUAUGUAUCUAACUUGAAAAAUGCUGAGCUACUUACCUUAACACCAUUAACUUUUACUUAAAAGUUUGUUUUUCUUUUUUAAUCCAAGCGAGCUCCAAACAAGUUUUAGGAGGCUCCUCAAAGCCAGCAAAGACUUUAACUGAAAGUAGAAUUUCAAAGUACUGUAAUUGGAUUAGAAACCAAACCCCAAAAUUAAAUGUGAAGAUUAGUGUCCGUACUGAACCGGCCCAUCUGGUGGACACAGGAUUUGUGUUAUCGACCACAGUGUUACCCAGGAUUCAUGAUUUCUGGAGUUUGUCAGUGUUAAGAAAAUUGGAUUGAGUACCAAAUACAGCAGAGCAAACCCAGAUUUGAGGCAAGGACCCUAUAAAAUAGUCAUGCAGUACUUUUGUUAGGGUUCUGGGCACAAAUCUUCCUCAUCCCUCCCACCUUCUCCUGGCCUGCCUGUAAACCCGAACCACCAGGUACCUCAAUUUUCUUCAAGGUCAGGCUGUUCUUAAUGUUGCUAAAUUGAUCAAGGAAAUGGGUGAGCCACUGCUUGCUCUGCACAUAGUCCUCAGGGUGCUCAGGGUUCAGGCAGUACAGCAGCUGCAUGGUUUUGGCCCGAAGGAGUAACUGGUCCAUUCCUAGGCUCUCCCCAAAGAUGUGUCUUCUGAAGAAGCUGGUCAGGUAGAGGGGGUGUCCACCAUGGUUGUAGAUGGGGAAGGAGAUGCUGCUCAGGUCAAGCAUUUUGUUCACCUGCCAGGCGUAUAGGAGCGGGUUGGGGGCACCACGCAGAGCAUUUGUACCUGGCCCACACCUGCCGGUACUGGAUCUGGCUUACGUUUCCCUGCGCCACACACAGAUCCUGCACUGUACUGUCCAGUCAACUGACUUCAGCAAAGAUGUCUGGGUCCAGCAGUGAGUUACUGUGGAAGGCCACCAGAAUGGAGGUGAUAUCAGCCUCGGUGCUCUUCCUGGAGGCGGAGAAGUGGUUGGAGUCCUCUGUGGUGAAAUGGCCCUGCAUCAAAGUGGGAGACAUUCAGAAUCAAGGUGAAAUUGGCCUCAGUGCUGGUCCUGGAGGCGGAGAAGCGGUCAGUGUCCUUGGUGGUGAAGUGGCCCUGCAUGAAACAUCACUCCCCCUUGGCCGGUGAAAGAAUAAAAUAAAGCUGGCCACUUGCAUUUCCCUUUCAGUUUAUAGAAUACAUGUUUUGGAAAUAGUGUCUUCUAGAUCUGUCUUUUUCUUUUCUGAUUUAACUUAUUAGCAAAGCUAAGUUUUGUCUCUUCAUAGUGUUGCUUUUGUUUCAAAAGCUUCUAUGAGAUUUGUUUACUGUGUGUGGCUAUAUGGCAGACAAUUUGUUCAAGUGGCCUGCCUCCUCUUUCUCACAUUGACCCCUUCAGGAGGAGUUUUUCAAGGGUAAUGAGUCUUCUCUCUGAGAUAAGAAUAGUAGCCAGAAUUAAGAAGGUAAAGUGCAUUGUGGAAUUAAAUCCUGAUUCCAGUGGAAACUUAGUUUAUGGCCUUAGACAAAUGUUUACACUUCUGAUCCUCAGUUUUCUCUCAAAGAACUUCUGCUCAUAUCCAAUUCCUAUUAAGUGGAAGUACUCUAACCUGGUAUUACUAAUAUUCGGUUAGAUUUUUUCCUAAUUUUAGGUGUUAGAAUAUAUCCUAAUGUUACCAGUUCUUCACUGUUACUAAAGUGCACGUUAGAUUUCUUCAAUGAUUUUUUUUAAUUGGCAUGGUUGAUACAAAGCAUCCUUCUAUCCAAAUACUGUGCUCAGUCGCCUAAGUGAUAGUUUAGAACCAUACUAUCUCUCUCUGGAAAGAAUGCUGGGGCUCCUGACUACACACUUUGACUAGAGGGGAAAAUACUCCUCUUGUAUUUAUGAUGGUUUUUCUUUCUACUUGAUUAAGAAGAGAGUACAAAAAGGUGCUUAUUGAAGCAUUGUCAAUUUGGGAACAAGAUUCUCAGGAAUGAAAAAUUUGUGACUGUUCUCAGCAUGAAAGGGAGAGAGAUGAUUACCUGAUCAUUACGUGCUUAUUUGAAAGUCACUUUCCUCCCAUGUCUCAGCAUCUCACUUUUUAGAAUGCACACUGAAUGCCUGGGAUCUCUUUGUUUUAGAACAGACAAAGUUGCAUUGUUAAAGGAAUAAUAUUUCCAGGGAAAAGGCUCAGUGCUCAACGGUUACUCUAUAAAGAGAUUUGAAAAGAAAGUCAAGGGAAGGUAAGGAGGGCAACAUGGCUACCAAUCUCGUGGGUUCUACUAGCGUUAUUUCAUGAAAAAUGUCACCUUUUUAUAGGAGAGAAUAAAUCUGAGAAUCAACUGGCAUCUAAA